UUGUCCGGGCCAUAACUAUGUCAUUCAUUGUGAGAUUGAAAAUUACUCUGUACAUUUGUUCACAAUCAUUAGACGGUGUGUCAUGCAAAAGAAUUAUGUCAAUAUCUCCAAGGUCAAGGUCACACUUGGAGUUCAAAAGACAAAAAUGGCCAUAAAUGAGCUUGUCCGGGCCAUAACUAUGUCAUUCAUUGUGAGAUUUUAAAAUCAGCCUGCAGUCGCUUGAAAGCUGUUUGCUUAAAACCGUUUUUCUGACAAUAACAAAUAAUUUAAUUGGAUGCUGGAUCGUAACAGCUUGACACGGCAAAACUGGCAUACUGGUAUUUUUAGUUAGCAAUAUAAGUCGCAUUGUGCUUUAUAAAUUGUAUUCGAGCAUUUUGCGACUUAUUGAAUGACUAUGAUACCCGAUAUCAACAUUUCAUCGGGGAUUUGCAGAUUUGUCCUGAAAUUCAACAUUGAUUUCAAACUCUUUACUGGCGGGUGAUGCUAGGGGGUCCGGUUGAGGAAAAGCCAUAGCAAGAAGAAGGGCAAGAAAAAGAAGGAUGAUGACUCGUUAGACUCCCCCAGGCCUCUUGGCAUGCCCCCUGCGUACCCCAUAUCAGAUGUCACUAGGUCAAAGGUCAAGGUCACAGUGACUCGAAACAGCAAAAUGGUUUCCGGAUGAUAACUCAAGAAUAGGAUCAUGAAACUUCAUAGGAACAUUGAUCAUGACUGGCAGAUGACCAGUAUUGAUUUUCAGGUCACUAGGUCAAAGGUCAUUGUCACAGUGACUCAAAAUAGUAAAAUUGUUUCUGGAUGAUAACUCAAGAAUCCUUACACCUAGGAUAUUGAAACUUCAUAGGUACAUUGAUCAUGACUGGCAGAUGACCCAAAUUAAUUUACAGGUCAUAGGUCAAGGUCACAGUGACUCAAAACAGUAAAAUGGUUUCCGGAUGAUAAGUCAAGAAUAAUAAGGCCUAGGAUCAUAAAACUUUAUAGGUACAUUGAUCAUGACUGGCAGAUGACCCCUAUUGAUUUUCAGGUCACUAGGUCAAAGGUCAAGGUCACAGUGACAAAAAAUGUAUUCGCACAAUGGCGGCCACUACAACUGACAGCCCAUUUGGGGCAUGUUUUACAAACAGCCCUUGUUUAAAAAGAGCAAUAUCAAAGCAAUAAUUCCAGAAUGACUUCCUCUUGAAUAUGAGAAAAUUUUGAAAUCUUGUUUGCGCGAUUAAGUACACAGUUUCCAACUUAUUCUUUCCAAACUUGCACAGUGUUUAUAGCAGUAGAGGGAUUCAGGCCCUCAUGGGCCUCUUGUCUUAUGUAAUGUACUCCAAACUUGCACAGUGUUUAUAGCAGUAGAGGGAUUCAGGCCCUCAUGGGCCUCUUGUCUUAUGUAAUGUACUCCAAACUUGCACAGUGUUUAUAGCAGUAGAGGGAUUCAGGCCCUCAUGGGCCUCUUGUCUUAUGUAAUGUUGUUACAUGUAUGGUCAUGAGUCUGCAUCCAAAAUUCCAUGGGUUACCCUCUGGGCAGCUACGUUUGAUUUGGCGUAGUCACCAUGGUUAGCCCAGGCAGCUUUCCUGCACGUUCUCAGAGGCCAGAUCAUCAGAGAGGUGAUUGAGAAUCAUGAGAUGUGCAUUGUUCCAUCAUCUUUGUCCAGCCACCCGACCUGACUUGUAACAGGUAUCAGGAUUCCCUGUAGUUCCACCACCAAUGAUAGCUUUCCCAAGGCUACAACUACAUACAGAAGAUGAUAGUCAACAGUCAGCGUGUGAUGUUAGAAAUUGGCAUUCAGCUGGCCUAUAUAAACCAGCACACCUAUACUGCUUGGUUCAGUGGUUGUUGAAAGAACAGGGGCAGGAUCUUGCUUGAACAGGGACUCGCCCUUCAAGUGACUCGAUAGGUAGCACCCUAGUCACUGCCAUUGCCUAUGAAAAGGCCAGUUGCCCUGGAGAUGGGAACAUCUGACCCACACGAGUUUCUGAUCUUGAGCAGCUCUUAUGGUGAGCCCUUGUGAUUUCAGGUGCAGUGCUCAUGGAAAGUGCAGGGCGUGGACCUUGCUGGAACGGAGUCACUUUAAGCCCCCAUGAAAAAGCUAGAGGCCCAGGAGAUGGGAACCACUGACUAACAUUAGUUUCCCAUCUAGAGCAGCACUUAAGGUGACCUCAUUAAAGCCAAAUUUCUGAAAUACAUCAGUGUGCAGAGCUUAUACGUCAAGUUGAAGACUUACAAUUCAGCUCAUGGACAGUGAUGAAACAUUUAAACACAACCGUAUUAUGAGUGAACAAAUCUAAACAAAAACAAAUGUGUUGUUGCCUUAUGCCAAUGUCAUGGCACACUGGUCGCUUAACUUAAUUCUACACUAAAGUGCUUCUUUUCAAGGAUAAGGCUUUGUUGAAUGCUUUAAUAAAUAUACAAUAUAAAAUGACCUGCACAACUAUGAAACGAUGUGAAUUGAAUAUUUUGUACAACUACUGCUGGCCUUAUUAAAAAAACACAAUAUGAAGCUUCAUAACUAAAUGUGUGCACAAAAAGUAUGUACCGUUUCUGAUCAGUAACUUCUUUGAGUAGUUUAUGUUUGACGACUGUUCAGUAUAGUUGCUUUUUUGACUGAGUUAGUUUUUAAGCAAAUACAGUGAACUUUUCUAAUCAUUUUGCUUAGAAUAAAAUUACUGUUUGAAAUGCCUCAAAUAUCUUAGAUGAACUUUGUCUUAUGACUUUUUUUUAAAUUAAAAUCUCUUGUCAUAAGUAUAAUUUUCUGGGCUAGUUUUCAAAAUUUCAUAUGUAUUGCGCAAACUGCUUGUUCUCUCGAAUUCAAGUGAUUCAACAGUAAUUAAAUAAAUAUUUAAUAAAAACAGUUUUAUUUGAAUAUUAAUUGAUGUCCAGGCUAUUCGGUCUUUUUUACACUUAUACAUUAUUUCUAUACAAUUGCUCAUAGUAUUGAAUUACAAAUUGAUAUUAUUUUGACUAUUUGACAAUCAUUGCAUUCUACUGAUUAAUGUACACAAUCGAAUAAUUCACUUGUUUCUGAAAAUCAAGAAAAAAUACAUUAACUAAUUGCUACGAGUUAUUACGGAUUUAUUUCAUUAAUGUACGUUUAUAUAUAUAACUCUUAUACAGUUGGUUGCUCAUUCGACAGUGCAGCCUGUUAAAUUUAUCUUAAAUGAAGGACACUUGCUGCAUGCCAGAUGUUUCCAAAUCUUUUACAUUUAAUUGAUUGCAUAGCUGAAUAGAAUUAAUGGGUACUUCAAAUAUAGAAACAUUUUAAAAAAUAAAAUGGGUAUCGUUAGGAAUUAAUAAUCAUAAGGUCCGUUUUGCGAUAGACAUCUGCAGUUGAUCUUGAAUUGUACACUAAUAAUAACCAUGCAUGUAAAUGAAAACGAUACGCAAGUACAGUGUCAUUGGCGAUAUUUGAAUUGCUUCUUUAUAUAUAAUUGAUUCAUAACGAUUCGCUACUGCAAAUGAUGUUCUAUGCACUCGAAGUGUCACAUUAACAAAUCUUUACAAUUAUGAAAUUAAAUAUUUUGUUUAUAAAAUCAUAUCCUAUUUUGCAAUCAUCGGCGCGUUGUGUUGGCGUCCUUCAAACCCACUUAUACGCCAAUAAGAUGGCAGAAAGCAGCUACCAAACUACAUUCAUAAGGAUAUAUUAAGCGUCUCUUAGAAGCUCGCUUAUCAACAUUGCAAAUGCAUAUGUAUAUUUCCAUGUUUUAACUUAAGACAUUUUUAAAUAGACAUGC